UCUUAGGGUACCGUCACUGUCCGACGCAUCGAACACAUUCUUCCCCUAUAAAAGCAGUUUACAACCCAGAAGGCUGUCUUCCUGCACGCGGCAUGGCUGGUUCAGGGUUGCCCCCCAUUGACCAAUAUUCCCU
rnacentral:rRNA from 1 species